UGGAGGAAAGUAGGGGAUCGAAAGACCUUGCGCUUUCGGAGCGGCCGAUGUCUGAUUAGCUAGUUGGUGGGGUAAUGGCCUACCAAGGCGACGAUCAGUAGCUGGUCUGAGAGGACGACCAGCCACACUGGAACUGAGACACGGUCCAGACUCCUACGGGAGGCAGCAGUGGGGAAUUUUGGACAAUGGGCGCAAGCCUGAUCCAGCCAUUCCGCGUGAGUGAAGAAGGCCUUCGGGUUGUAAAGCUCUUUCGCAAGGGAAGAAACGAUGCAGUCGAAUAAACUGCGUUAAUGACGGUACCUUGAUAAGAAGCACCGGCUAACUACGUGCCAGCAGCCGCGGUAAUACGUAGGGUGCGAGCGUUAAUCGGAAUUACUGGGCGUAAAGCGUGCGCAGGCGGUUUUGUAAGUCAGAUGUGAAAUCCCCGGGCUCAACCUGGGAACUGCGUUUGAAACUACAAAGCAGA
rnacentral:rRNA from 1 species